CCCAUUACACCCAUAAACAUGCAUUGCCUUUCUGCGUUCCUUUUCCAGAGAAACGUAAGAAUUCACAAAGUAGAUAUGGUGAAGAAAGCAGAAGAAAAAUACCAGAUAAAUUAGUAGCAGAGAAUAUUGAAUUAAAGGAAAGGCUUG